CCUACGGGAGGCAGCAGUGGGGAAUAUUGGACAAUGGGCGAAAGCCUGAUCCAGCAAUGCCGCGUGAGUGAUGAAGGCCUUCGGGUCGUAAAGCUCUUUUACCAGGGAUGAUAAUGACAGUACCUGGAGAAUAAGCUCCGGCUAACUCCGUGCCAGCAGCCGCGGUAAUACGGAGGGAGCUAGCGUUGUUCGGAAUUACUGGGCGUAAAGAGUACGUAGGCGGUUAUUCAAGUCAGAGGUGAAAGCCCGGGGCUCAACCCCGGAACUGCCUUUGAAACUAGAUAACUAGAGUCUUGGAGAGGUUAGUGGAAUUCCGAGUGUAGAGGUGAAAUUCGUAGAUAUUCGGAAGAACACCAGUGGCGAAGGCGACUAACUGGACAAGUACUGACGCUGAGGUACGAAAGCGUGGGGAGCAAACAGGAUUAGAUACCCUGGUAGUCCACGCCGUAAACGAUGAUAACUAGUUGUUCGGUCACUUGGUGACUGAGUGACGCAGCUAACGCAUUAAGUUAUCCGCCUGGGGAGUACGGUCGCAAGNUUAAAACUCAAAGAUAAUGCGNGNGAGNGNGACGAGACGACGAGAGGAG
rnacentral:rRNA from 1 species